rnacentral:tRNA from 1 species
GAGAGUAUAGCUCAGGGGUAGAGCACGUGCUUAGCAUGCACGAGGUCCUGGGUUCCAUCCCCAGUACCAACA